rnacentral:rRNA from 1 species
UAGGGAAUCUUCGGCAAUGGGGGGAACCCUGACCGAGCAACGCCGCGUGAGUGAAGAAGGUUUUCGGAUCGUAAAGCUCUGUUGUUAAGGAAGAACGAGUGUGAGAAUGGAAAGUUCAUGCUGUGACGGUACUUAACCAGAAAGGGACGGCUAACUACGUGCCAGCAGCCGCGGUAAUACGUAGGUCCCGAGCGUUGUCCGGAUUUAUUGGGCGUAAAGCGAGCGCAGGCGGUUAGAAAAGUCUGAAGUGAAAGGCAGUGGCUCAACCAUUGUAGGUUUUGGAAACUGUUUAACUUGAGUGCAGAAGGGGAGAGUGGAAUUCCAUGUGUAGCGGUGAAAUGCGUAGAUAUAUGGAGGAACACCGGUGGCGAAAGCGGCUCUCUGGUCUGUAACUGACGCUGAGGCUCGAAAGCGUGGGGAGCGAACAGG